GGGGGGGGGGGGGGGGGGGCGGGGGGCGGGCGGGGGGGGCGCCCCGGGAGGGGGGUGGGGGACUGGUGAGUAGCGCGUGGGAGCGUGGCCUUUUCUCCGGAAUCGCUCUGUGACACUGGCAUUAAUCCCGUAUACGCCCUACGGGGGCAAGAUUUAUCGGGGAAGGAUUUGCCCGCGUUGGAUUAGCUAGUUGGUGGGUUAAAGGCCUACCAAGUCGACGAUCCAUAGCUGGUCUGAGAGGAUGAUCAGCCACAUUGGGACUGAGACACGGCCCAAACUCCUACGGGAGGCAGCAGUGGGGAAUAUUGGACAAUGGGCGCAAGCCUGAUCCAGCCAUGCCGCGUGAGUGAUGAAGGCCUUAGGGUUGUAAAGCUCUUUCACCGAUGAAGAUAAUGACGGUAGUCGGAGAAGAAGCCACGGCUAACUUCGUG
rnacentral:rRNA from 1 species